UGUAAAUCAUGUUAGCGGAGUCUGAUACUGAUUUAAUGGAUGAAUCAUACCACUGAAGAUGAUCGUCGUAACUCAAGGGCAUGGAGGACUUGUCCAUGUGAACUAUGUAUGUCUUCUUCGGCAUAUUUCUUUCUGCAAAACCAUAGUAGCAUAUCACCAGUACAACAAAUAAAACAUACCAAAGUUUCAUUUUUUUUUCAAAAUUCACUCAGUCACCUCUGCAAAUUCUUGGACCCAAUCCAGAAUUCAAGACAGGGUUCAGUAACUUGCAAAAGCACUCUCAGAUGAGUGUUCUUCAAAAUCUGAACUCUCAUUCCAGCUUUUGUAGAUAAGUUUCAUAAUGCAUUGGACCCACUAAGUGCUAAAAACUAAUAUGAAUCAAUCAAUCUGUGGCUCUUACUGAUAAACUCUUUGUGGCCUAGGAAAGAAUAUUUAGUUAUUUAGUUUUAUUCAGAUGUGAUUGCGCACCUGUCAGCCUAGUUAUGAAGCCAUAAUUAAGCUUAACUUACUGAUAAUUGCUUAAACAAGUUUCAGUGAAGUGAUCAUGACUGUGCCUAAUUACUUAUAAUGUCUUUCUUGUAAGCUAAUCAAUGUAUGAUUGACAUAUACUAUAACGGCCCAUGUGCAGAGAAUUUCACAGAGUUAACAUCAGCGCAACAGUCUUGCAAUUGCAACUGUUUCCUAUUCUUACAUCACGUAUGUCUGUUUACGCCUGGUUGCAGACCUAUCGGGAUUUAUUAAACGUGACAUUGUUCAAUUAGGAGCGGAAUUAAUCUUUUCUAUCGUAUUUCUGAAUUUUCUCAGGAAGAGAAAGAAAUGAGGAUUAACACGGAAGGUCUUCUGAUACAGUUUCGACACUUGAAGCCUUGGUGUGUCAGAACCCACUGGGGUUAUUGUAUAAUCGUCGGUGUUUAAGAUAAUUAUGUUCAUAAUUAGUUGUCAAUUAACGUUAGGUGAGAAUCUACUUCAUAUCUGAGUUAACCUAUCAUGUACUUACGUUAGGAUACACGUUAUGGUACAACUGAGAAUCAGUCUAUUAGCUACAGCUUAGCUGCUUUAUUAAGUGGAAUUAUAAUGGUUUGUAACCACAAAAUCGAAUAGUUGGGGGAGAUUGUACCUCCAUAGAUUUGAAUGGAAGAAAAUCUGCCAAA
rnacentral:lncRNA from 1 species